GUGAACGCUGGCGGUAGGCCUAACCCAUGCAAGUCGAACGGCAGCACAGUAAGAGCUUGCUCUUACGGGUGGCGAGUGGCGGACGGGUGAGGAAUACAUCGGAAUCUACUUUUUCGUGGGGGAUAACGUAGGGAAACUUACGCUAAUACCGCAUACGACCUACGGGUGAAAGCAGGGGAUCUUCGGACCUUGCGCGAUUGAAUGAGCCGAUGUCGGAUUAGCUAGUUGGCGGGGUAAAGGCCCACCAAGGCGACGAUCCGUAGCUGGUCUGAGAGGAUGAUCAGCCACACUGGAACUGAGACACGGUCCAGACUCCUACGGGAGGCAGCAGUGUGGAAUAUUGGACAAUGGGCGCAAGCCUGAUCCAGCCAUACCGCGUGGGUGAAGAAGGCCUUCGGGUUGUAAAGCCCUUUUGUUGGGAAAGAAAAGCAGCAGGUUAAUACCCCGCUGUUCUGACGGUACCCAAAGAAUAAGCACCGGCUAACUUCGUG
rnacentral:rRNA from 1 species